AUGGUUUCUGAUUACCGUCCCAUCAAUGCUAUCACCAUUAGAUAUCGCUACCCUAUUCCACGCUUAGAUGAUAUGCUUGAUGAGCUUAGCGGAGCCGUCAUUUUCCCUAAGAUUGAUCAUAAGAGCGGCUACAAUCAAAUACUCAUCCAAGAAGGUGAUGUAUGGAAAACCACAUUUAAGACCAAAUUUGGCUUAAAUGAAUGGCUAAUUAUACCAAUGGAUUUAUCCGAAGCACCCGGUACUUUCAUGCGAGUCAUGCACUUUGUUCUUCGUCUCUAUAUUGGUGUAUUUGUUGUGGUCUAUUUUGAUGAUAAUCUUGUCUUUAGCAAAUCCCUCAAAGAUCAUGUCACCCAUCUUAGAACCGUGUUGCAAACCCUUAGGAAAGAGAGCCUUUAUGCUAAUAUGGACAAAAUGCCUUUUUGGUGUUGA
rnacentral:rRNA from 1 species